rnacentral:rRNA from 1 species
UACAGAGGGUGCGAGCGUUGUUCGGAAUCACUGGGCGUAAAGGGCGCGUAGGUGGCGAGCCAAGUCCAUGGUGAAAGCUCGAUGCUCAACAUCGAGUCGGCCACGGAUACUGGUGCGCUUGAGCACUGUAGAGGCUAAUGGAAUUCCGGGUGUAGCGGUGGAAUGCGUAGAGAUCCGGAAGAACACCGGUGGCGAGGGCGGUUAGCUGGGCAGUUGCUGAAACGGAGGCGCGACAGCGGGGGAGCAAACAGG